AGCUACAAAGGUAGGUGUAAAUGCUGAGCUCUAUAUCCUGUCUCCAUCUGUUGCCUGUUGCUGCCUGUCUAUUGUGAUGGUCCAUCAAUACUGAUAAUAAGCUACAAAGGUAGGUGUAAAUGCCUGAGCUCUAUAUCCUGUCUCCAUCUGUUGCCUGUUGCUGCCUGUCUAUUGUGAUGGUCCAUCAAUACUGAUAAUAAGCUACAAAGGUAGGUGUAAAUGCCUGAGCUCUAUAUCCUGUCUCCAUCUGUUGCCUGUUGCUGCCUGUCUAUUGUGAUGGUCCAUCAAUACUGAUAAUAAGCUACAAAGGUAGGUGUAAAUGCCUGAGCUCUAUAUCCUGUCUCCAUCUGUUGCCUGUUGCUGCCUGUCUAUUGUGAUGGUCCAUCAAUACUGAUAAUAAGCUACAAAGGUAGGUGUAAAUGCUGAGCUCUAUAUCCUGUCUCCAUCUGUUGCCUGUUGCUGCCUGUCUAUUGUGAUGAUCCAUCAGUAUUGAUAAUGAGUUGCAAAGGUAGGUGUAAAUGCUGAGCUCUAUAUCCUGUCUCCAUCUGUUGCCUGUUGCUGCCUGUCUAUUGUGAUGAUCCAUCAAUAUUGAUAAUGAGUUGCAAAGGUAGGUGUAAAUGCUGAGCUCUAUAUCCUGUCUCCAUCUGUUGCCUGUUGCUGCCUGUCUAUUGUGAUGGUCCAUCAAUACUGAUAAUAAGCUACAAAGGGAAGUGGAAAUGCCUGAGCUCUAUUUGCUCAAUACUACAUUGGGGCAAGGAAUAGCGUUUAAGUGAUUCAAUUUACUAUAACUACGUGUUCCUCAAAUUUUCAAAAAAGAAGUAUUUAAAUCUGUUGUUAUUUGCAAUUGCUAUGUUUUCAGUAUUCGCUCAAUACUGGAUUCUCAAAAAUCAAGAUUCAAGAAAUCUUUAUUGUCAUUAAUCAUUUAUGACAAUGAACUGGACAAGAUUACUUUGUCUUGUAAAUAAAUGACCUACUUCUAUCACACCUUUAAUAUUCCAUAAAACAAGUGUAAUGUUUUAGACAUUUACAAAAUUAGGUCAAAGUAAAUUUACCUAAUACUUUCCAUUAUAUAGUAAUGCCACAAUUUCCUCCUUAAAAAAAAAGUAAAUAUGGUGUUAGCAGCAUCUCGUUAACCCUCCACCAACUGAUGACCGACGGCACAGAUGGAGGACCAAGGAGACCGAGACAUCUCUGUUAAACUGCACCCUGUCACAUCCAAUCACACCAACAUAGAGAAACUGACCCAUCAAACGACUGACCUAAAACCUUCUAGUCUACUUAUAGCACAUCUAAAUGUUCCUAGAUAAAUUCCUUAGAUUUCUUUCUUAAAACAUCGGAUUGUGAAAUUCUUUGUUUAAAUUAACAUUGGUGUACACAGGCUGAAUUAAGCAUAUAUCUGCCCGAGGACUUUCAACUAGCAAGUAGCUACUGCAGGACUAUACCUUAUGGUGGAGUGGCUGUUUUGGUUAAAAACUCACUUAAAUAUGCAUAUGAAGUUGUUACAGUUGACUCUCUAUGGCAGCCUAAACAUUUUGAAGCAGCUAUGAUAGCUCUUCCUGAAAUUAAACUAAUAGUAGUGUCGGUGUAUCGAACUCCUGAUGCAAAUAUAGAUUUUUUCACAGAAAAAGUUGCAAACCUUUUGGACAUAAUUGAAAUUAAUUAUAAAUACAAAAAUUUCAAGAGUGCCAUUGCGGGUGACAUUAAUAUGGACCCAAGUAGUAAUAAUUUUCAUAUCAAAAAUUUUGUAAAUAUGCUGAAAUCCUACGACUGUUUCUGCCUGAACUCUGAACCCACCCGAUUGCACUCGUGUCUUGACAAUUUUAUCUCAAACUUUCAGCCUGCUACUGUUGCGUGUGAAAUAACUCAGCCUCACCUCUCGGACCAUUUGGGACUUCUUCUCAGAAUCAGUUCACGAUACCUAACAUUGAACAAUGAAGGAGUUUCUCAUAAUAGCAGACCUAGAACUAUUACUUACAGAUUGACAAACAACUUCUGCAUCAAUAAGUUAAAACAUAGGUUAAGUAGGAUUAACUGGAGUAAUGAGUUCUCAUUAGCUUGUAAUGUUGAUGAAGCCUUUAAAUCAUUCAUGCAAAUUUUAUCUGAAAAUUUUAAUGAGUCAUGUCCUAUCAAAACUAAGAUUUUAAAAAACAGUGGUGUUAAAAGCUCUAGGUCAGUUAUAAAACAAAAUUGGGACACACCCUACCUUGGUAAAAUUAUGCUACUGUUGGACAUUAGUUAUGAUUAAGUUAAAGCAAACCCUAGCCUUAUCCUAGCACAUAAUAGACUUAACAAAUUUUAUAGAAUGCAAAUAGAUUUGGCAAAAAAGCUGCAAUUGAUAAAUUUAUAUUAGAAUGUAAUAAUCAAUGUAGAGCAGCGUGGAAAGUUAUAAAUUCUGUUACAGGCCGUGUAGCAGAUAAGAGUGUAAAUGCCAGUAUACCCAUUACAGCAAAUCAGUUUAAUAAUUUUUUUGUAAAUAUUAGUAAUAGUUUAAGUAAUUUGCCUAGCCAAAAUGUAACUAGUUCCUUGGAUAUUUUAAGCUCAUCUUCUAUCAAAACUCCUGUUUCACCUUUCAAAUGGCAGGAUAUUAACAAUGUUGAUGUUUAUAAUACUGUAAAAGAAUUUAGCAACUCUAAAGUUGAAGAUGUUUUUGGUAUGUCAAAUUUUUUGGUCAAAAAUAUUAUUGAAGAUAUCUCCUUUCCUUUAUCAUACCUUAUCAAUUGGAUGUUUACUGUAGGCAUUUUCCCACAAUGUUUGAAAAUUACAAUUAUUGUUCCAGUUUUUAAAAAGGGAGAUAAGUCUUGUAUAAAUAACUACCAUCAUAUUUCUUUAAUUGCUGUAGUCUCUAAAAUAAUUGAAAGGUUACUAAAAAAUCAGAUGGAAUAUUUUUUUAGAAUAAUCAGAUACUAAAUCCUGUUCAAUAUGGUUUCAGAAGUAAAUUAUCUACCAUUAAGGUUCUUGAAAAUGUCAUAUCUACUGUUCUUGAAAGUUUUGAAAACAAGGAGGGAGUUGCAACCUUGUUGUUAGACUUGAGUAAAGCGUUUGAUUAGUACCACACAGUGAGCUAAUUGAUAAAUUAAAGUAUUAUGGUGUACUUGGUGAACUGUCUCUUCUCACCUCUUACUUGUCUGAUCGUUAUCAGUUUGUAAAAGUUUGGUGACCAGAGGUCGGAUCUUCAAUGUGUGAGAAAUGGAGUGCCUCAGGGCUCUGUUCUGGGUCCUUUCUUAUUUGUUAUCUUUGUUAAUGAUUUACCUGAUUUUGUACCAAAUAAAAGUGUUCUUUAUGCCGAUGACACCAGUCUAUUGUCAUCAAACAAAGAUAGCAUGCUAAAUAAAGUGAUAAUUAAUUACAUGAAAGAAAGAUCCUUCCUCUGGUUUGAUGCUAACAAAUUAAGAGUAAUCUAUGAAAAAACUGAGGAGACUGUCUUUAGUUUGAGCUCAAAGGUGGACAGUCAAUCUAAAACUGCUGGGCAUAAACCUGGAUUCUAAACUGAAUUGGUGAGUUCACAUAAACUCUCUUUGCUCUCGCUUAUCGAGGGUUAUUUUUCUAUUGAAAAAAUUCUGUUGGUGCAAAAUUAGUUUUUAAGACUCAAAGAAGGGCAUUACGAGUUAUUGCAGGUAUUGGUAAGAGAGAUUCUUGUAGGCCUGUCUUGUUGAUCUAGGUAUUCUUACCCUUCCAUGUAUAUUUAUUUUGCAAAGCCUAAUUUUCCUUAAAGAAAAUCUUAAUUUGUAUAAUUUUAGAAAUUAUGCUCAUAACUAUAGUACUAGAUCUCAGAACUUGAUAGACCUCAAAUACUUUAGAUUAAGUAAAACUCAAAACAGCUACAUGUACAUUAGUAUAACAUUUUUUAACCUACUACCACCAGAUGCAGUUACCACUACUUUAAGGAAUAUCAGAAAUUGUCAUGUGAAAUGGCUGAAGCAGAAGGCUUUCUAUUCAGUAGAAGAAAUACUUUUACAUGAUUUAUGUGACCUUAAAUUUUAAUAAUGCUAUGUUUUAAUUUUUAACAAUUAUUAUUAUUUGUUUAUUCUAUUGUUAUAUGUUGUUUGUUAUUGCUAUUAUUAAUUUAUUAUUAUUUAUUUUAGCAUUAAGUUUUAAUUAAUACUAUAUUUUGACAAUUUUCUUAUUGUAUAUUUAUUUGCUUUUCUCUAUAGAGAUGGUGUUCUUAACUGUUGAUCUAAUAGUACAUUAUUGUAAACCUUAUCUGACUUUGUCAAUGCAUAUGUGGGACGACAAUAAAUGAUUCUUGAUUUCUGAGGUUCUGUGUACUUACUAUCAAAGGCACAGUUUCCAUCAAGAGUAAAAAUUAAAUUUUCUGUUUUACUAUUAUUUACCACUGGUAAAUAAUCCACUAAAAGGUUGGCUUUAAACAACUUAAUACUUCUGUCAUUGCCUGCUCCUGUUCUAAAAUUAAAGUUUCUAGAUUUUUAUUGCUAUUUAAAAUAUUUGUAUCAUGUGCAUAUAACAGACCUACAAGGCAUAUUAAAUGAACAAUUUUGAACUCAUAACAAAUCAUUGGGGCCAGGACAAGCAUAUGGUUAUUAUAAGUGUUGCUAUUUAUUAUAAUUAUGUGUUUCUUAAAUUAAAGAAAAGAAAUAUUUAAACCAGCUGUUGUUAUUUGCAAUUGCUAUU